rnacentral:rRNA from 1 species
CCUACGGGAGGCGGCAGUAAGGAAUAUUGGUCAAUGGACGCAAGUCUGAACCAGCCAUGCCGCGUGAAGGAUGAAUGCCCUCUGGGUUGUAAACUUCUUUUAUAGGGGACGAAAAAGGGUCUUUUCAGAUCAACUGACGGUACCCUAGGAAUAAGCACCGGCUAACUCCGUGCCAGCAGCCGCGGUAAUACGGAGGGUGCAAGCGUUAUCCGGAUUUACUGGGUUUAAAGGGUGCGUAGGUGGGUUGGUAAGUCAGCGGUGAAAUCUUCGAGCUUAACUCGGAAACUGCCAUUGAUACUAUCAGCCUUGAAUAUCCUGGAGGUGAGCGGAAUAUGUCAUGUAGCGGUGAAAUGCUUAGAUAUGACAUAGAACACCAAUUGCGAAGGCAGCUCACUACGGGAUUAUUGACACUGAGGCACGAAAGCGUGGGGAUCAAACAGGAUUAGAUACCCUGGUAGUCCACGACCUAACGANAGAUACUACGACAUUGUCGAUAUACAGUAAGUAGUNUGAGAGAAGACGAUAAGUA